GUGAUCGCUCAGCGCCCGGCCUCACGUCCAGGCCUCUGCACUUCGGUGGUUAAAGGCACCUCAUCGCUCACCUGGCCCCACACGGCUCCCUGCUGAGCAGCACCUAAAAGAUUUGCAACACCUUUGGGUCAUGACUUUGAACUAGCCAGCUGGGGAAGCCGACUGACCGCCUGGGCCAGGUCCGGAUCCAUCAGAGGAGCCUCAAGGCCCGCUGUCCUGGUGGGUUAGCUCUGUUCUGAACGGCUAGAAUGGUUGGAGAGCGUAUCUGGCUGGGGAUCAGCAGAUUCGGCUAGCUCACCGCCGGUCCCACAUCACACCCAGCCUGGGCCUGCAAGGAAUUCAUCUCAGUGAAGAACAAAAGGUCAACACCCCCAGGCAGCAAGAGGGCUCACGGGCCCCGGGGCCCAGCUCUCCACAGCUAAUUUACUGCGUCCUGGGCUGGCGAUGGGGAGGGGUCUGCUGGCAGCAAGCGAGGGUCCCCCAGAGCCAGCGGCCCUCCCUGCCCCUCCUGCCUCGGGCGCUGCUCUUUGCCCGCCCCACACACAUGGUGUCGGUGGGCACCGCCGCUGUUUUCCAAAUGCGGCUUCCUCCUUCGUCUGGAGCCGGGGGCUUGACCCACGCCGGGCCAGUCAGAGCCCCUUCCUACAUCUGUGCUCGGCGGGCAGAGACAGGAUGCAGCCUGGUUUCUCUCUGCACGAGGCCACUAGGAGGCCGGUGUGGAGCAGGUCUCGGUGGAGGCCCCGAUCCAGUGCGUUCCGGGGACUCUGGGCUGCUGCUCCGUGAAUGGUUCGGUUAUACAAGCCGGGUGAAAUGCGCAGCACCUGUUUGCUGACAGCGUAGAAAUGUCAGGCUCAGAGGUCAUGAGCCCCCAUCACAGCAUCUCCGUCCUGCCGACCGGGCAAAGCCACGGUCACUCAAGGUGAGCUUCGUGGAUCUCGUGACGGGAGGGAGGGCCCUGCACACUCCGGUCCUUCCCAAGGAGGAGCCAGGGCCAGGUGACCCCAACAUGCAGAGGAAGUGCUAGACCAAGAGGCCAACCUUCGGGCUGUUCGCCGGAAGCAACUUCAGAGCCAGACAUCCCCACGGACCCGCAUCCCGCAUCCCAGGGCACUGUCACUCUGCACGUGGCCCCCGCGCACCGGGGGUGGAAACGACUGUGUCACGCCACCUCUCCCGGCCCUGGUUUGGCGAAGUGUCAAGGUGGCACACGAGAAGAAAGAUCUGAGAGAGGGAGAAGGUAGGCCCGAGAAAUCGAGGAGCAGGAGAAGAGGGGGCGUGGGAAAGAGCUGACGGGAGAGAGCAGAGGAGGUUCAGAAUCCAGAGCAAAGUAAGCCACCCCAGGCCUGUCCCGAGGCCCUCACCAUGGCUCCCGCCCGGGGGCUGCUGCUUCAGAACUGGAGAGGAAGAGAGAGUCCUAGGAAAACAGGAGUGCUGUCCAGUUCUCGCCCUGAGGACCAGGCGGCUCCUGGGGGAAGCACACGGGGGUGAGCCAGGCUCGCUGUCAGCUAUCAGCUUUGUGGCUCUGAAGGCAGAAGGCUGGAGCUGGAAGAAAUUCUCUGGAUUUACAUCUUUUUUUAAGAUUUUAUUUCUUGAUUUGAAAAAGAGAGAGAGCACAAGCAGCGGGAGGGGCAGAGGGAGAGAGAGAAGCAGACUCCCC